rnacentral:lncRNA from 1 species
CCUUCUUCGACAUUUAGCGAUUUAAACGUUCAAUUGAAGCUGUCCGCUCUCUCGUCUGUUCAUAUUAUAGUUUUCUGCGUGCGAAAAGUUUUCAACAAUUUCACAACGGAAGAAAAAUCGUUGAAUCGUGAGAAAAAUCUGUGUUUUGUUACAGAUUUUUCUCCCGAUUUUGUGAAUCGCAAGGUGCUGACGUGAGUACUCACGACAGGUUAUUUACAUACAGCGAGCAAAAUCGGCCCGACAAAUCGCAGCGUGUAAAAGGUAUAAGGUUUAAGGUAUUAAAUAUAUCCCCCCCCC